rnacentral:rRNA from 1 species
UACAGAGACCCCCAAGCGUUAUCCGGAUUUAUUGGGCGUAAAGCGUGUGUAGGCGGCAAUGAUAGUCAGAUGUUAAAUUCCAGCGCUCAACGUCGGAGCUGCAUCUGAAACGUCAUAGCUAGAGACAAGUAGAGGUUCAUGGAACAUAUGGUGUAGCAGUGAAAUGCGUUGAUAUCAUAUGGAACGCCAAAGGCGAAGGCAGUGAACUGGGCUUUGUCUGACGCUGAGACACGAAAGCGUGGGUAGCGAACGGGAUUAGAACUCGU